UUGAACGCUGGCGGCAUGCCUUACACAUGCAAGUCGAACGGCAGCACGGGUGCUUGCACCUGGUGGCGAGUGGCGAACGGGUGAGUAAUACAUCGGAACAUGUCCUGUAGUGGGGGAUAGCCCGGCGAAAGCCGGAUUAAUACCGCAUACGAUCUACGGAUGAAAGCGGGGGACCUUCGGGCCUCGCGCUAUAGGGUUGGCCGAUGGCUGAUUAGCUAGUUGGUGGGGUAAAGGCCUACCAAGGCGACGAUCAGUAGCUGGUCUGAGAGGACGACCAGCCACACUGGGACAGAGACACGGCCCAGACUCCUACGGGAGGCAGCAGUGGGGAAUUUUGGACAAUGGGCGAAAGCCUGAUCCAGCAAUGCCGCGUGUGUGAAGAAGGCCUUCGGGUUGUAAAGCACUUUUGUCCGGAAAGAAAUCCUUGGCCCUAAUACGGUCGGGGGAUGACGGUACCGGAAGAAUAAGCACCGGCUAACUACGUG
rnacentral:rRNA from 1 species